rnacentral:rRNA from 1 species
CGGACGGGUGAGUAACGCGUGGGUAACCUGCCUCAUACAGGGGGAUAGCAGCUGGAAACGGCUGGUAAUACCGCAUAAGCGCACAGUGCCACAUGGUACAGUGUGAAAAACUCCGGUGGUAUAAGAUGGACCCGCGUUGGAUUAGCUAGUUGGUGGGGUAACGGCCCACCAAGGCGACGAUCCAUAGCCGGCCUGAGAGGGUGAACGGCCACAUUGGGACUGAGACACGGCCCAG